rnacentral:rRNA from 1 species
UGCCAGCAGCCGCGGUUAAACCAAGAAAUUUAGUCAUUCUUUUAUGGUAAAAAGACAGUUAUACAGAAUGACAUAAUCAUCAGAUCUUUAGUAGAGGAGUAAAAUCUAUAUACUGAAAGUUAUACUAGAAGUGGUUUACUUAAGAUGUUGAAUCUGUGACAGCUUUAAGGGAAACUGGGAUUGGAUACCCCAUUAUUUUUAGUCGUAAAUUUAGUUUAAACUUACCAGAGUACUACGAAUAAAAAGUUUAAAACUCAAAGAGCUUGGCGGUGUUUUAGACCUCUCAGGGGAACCUGUCUCGUAAUCGACAAUCCACGUUAGACCUAACCCUUUGUGGUAAUACAGCCUGUAUACCGUCGUCGCCAGGUAACUUCUUAAAAUAUAGUAGUUAGCUUGAGAAUUAAAUUAAUUAAGACGUCAGAUCAAGGUGCAGCUAAUAAAAGGGUGAGGAUGGGUUACAAUUAUAUAUUUGUAAUUACGGAAAACACUUGAAAUGAAGUGCUUAAAGGAGGACUUGAAAGUAAUUUUAAUUAUAUGAGUAAAAUGAAUAAGGCUCUGAAACGUGCACACAUCGCCCGCCACUCU